GAUGAACGCUGGCGGCGUGCCUAAUACAUGCAAGUCGAGCGAACAGACGAUGAGCUUGCUCCUCUGACGUUAGCGGCGGACGUGUGAGUAACACGUGGAUAACCUACCUAUAAUACUGGUAUAACUUCGGGAAACCGGAUCUAAUACCGGAUAAUAUAUUGAACCGCAUUGUUCAAUAGUGAAAUACGGUUUUUCUGUCUCUUAUAGAUGGAUCCGCGCCGCAUUAGCUAGUUGGUAAGGUAACGGCUUACCAAGGCGACGAUGCGUAGCCGACCUGAGAGGGUGAUCGGCCACACUGGAAGUGAGACACGGUCCAGACUACUACGGGAGGAAGCAGAAGGGAAUAGUCCGCAAUGGGCGAAAGCAUGACGGAGAAAAGACGCGUGAGAGAUGAAGGUCUUCGGAUCGUAAAAAUCUGUUAUUAGGGAAGAACAAAUGUGUAAGUAAAUAUGCACGUAUUGACGGUAACGAAUCAGAAAGCAACGGCUAACUACGUG
rnacentral:rRNA from 1 species